rnacentral:tRNA from 1 species
GGAGGAAUAGCGAAGUGGCUAAACGCGGCGGUCUGUAAAACCGCUCUCUCUGAGUUCGGUGGUUCGAAUCCACUUUCCUCCAU